rnacentral:lncRNA from 1 species
AGCUAUGUCUGAAUUUGACAUUUUUCUCUUUCCCCAGUUACCACAACCACAUGACCCUUACUUUCGUGGUGCAAAGACUGAGCACAAAGUCAGCUCCACUGGAGGAAAACGCUCUUUGCUGGAACCUUUCUACAACACUGCCAGUUCAAGCAAACAGAUUGCGGUGUGGUCAGCUUUGUGAAGUUUUUAUGACUUUAAUUGAAUUGACUUAGGAAGCAUUACAAUGCCUGCACGUCAACGCAUACAUUUAUAUGAAAAGAGUUUAUACCAGCCUAAUCUAUCCCGCCUACACACCGCCACUGUUUCUCUUUGUAUACUCUGGAAUAAUAUAGUACUUAACAGGAUUAAAAUAUCAG